rnacentral:rRNA from 1 species
GUGGGGAAUUUUGGACAAUGGGCGCAAGCCUGAUCCAGCCAUUCCGCGUGAGUGAAGAAGGCCUUCGGGUUGUAAAGCUCUUUCGGCAGGAACGAAACGGUGGGGGCUAAUACCCUCUGCUAAUGACGGUACCUGAAGAAGAAGCACCGGCUAACUACGUGCCAGCAGCCGCGGUAAUACGUAGGGUGCGAGCGUUAAUCGGAAUUACUGGGCGUAAAGCGUGCGCAGGCGGUUCUAUAAGACAGAUGUGAAAUCCCCGGGCUUAACCUGGGAACUGCGUUUGUGACUGUAGGACUCGAGUGUGGCAGAGGGGGGUGGAAUUCCACGUGUAGCAGUGAAAUGCGUAGAGAUGUGGAGGAACACCGAUGGCGAAGGCAGCCCCCUGGGUCAACACUGACGCUCAUGCACGAAAGCGUGGGUAGCAAACAGGAUUAGAUACCCGAGUAGUCC